UACGUAGGUGGCAAGCGUUGUCCGGAAUUACUGGGCGUAAAGCGUGUGCAGGCGGGCUAGCAAGUGGUGUAUGAAAGCUCCCGGCUCAACCGGGAAGGGUUAUGCCAGACUGCUAGUCUUGAGUGCGAGAGAGGAGCGUGGAAUUCCGGGUGUAGUGGUGAAAUGCGUAGAGAUCCGGAGGAACCCCAGAGGCGAAGGCGGCGCUCUGGCUCGCAACUGACGCUCAGACACGACAGCAUGGGGAGCGAACGGG
rnacentral:rRNA from 1 species